CGAACACAUGAUAACAUUGACUUUGACAGAGACAUUAAAAUCGGUGAUACUGUCAUUGAACGAGUCGACAGUUAUGUGUACCUAGGUCACAAAUUGAAGUUGGGUCUAGACAACCAAACUGCAGAAAUAAAACGUAGAAUUGGUCUUGCAUGGGCAGCGUUCGGAAAAC